GACGAACGCUGGCGGCGUGCUUAACACAUGCAAGUCGAACGGAAAGGCCCUGCUUGCAGGGUGCUCGAGUGGCGAACGGGUGAGUAACACGUGGGUGAUCUGCCCCUUACUUUGGGAUAAGCCUGGGAAACUGGGUCUAAUACUGGAUAGGACCAUGCUGUAGGUGGUGUGGUGGAAAGAUUAGUUUCGGUAAGGGAUGAGCUCGCGGCCUAUCAGCUUGUUGGUGGGGUAAUGGCCUACCAAGGCGUCGACGGGUAGCCGGCCUGAGAGGGUGGACGGCCAAAUUGGGACGGGGAUACGGCCCAGACCCCUAGGGGGGGAAGCAGGGGGGAAUUUUGCAAAAUGGGGGCAAGCCUGAUGCAGCGACGCCGGGUGGGGGGUGACGGCCUUGGGGUUGAAAACCCCUUCCAGCCAUGACAAAGCCCUUGGGGUGACGGUAGUGGUAGAAGAAGCACCGGCUAAAUACGU
rnacentral:rRNA from 1 species